rnacentral:lncRNA from 1 species
CUCAGGAACUUACUUGGAUGUCUCUCUGCAUGGAGGUUGGAGUCCCCAAACUUCCAAUUCCUCUCUCCUCUUUUCCUUUCUCCUUUGCAUCUGCAUACCUUGUAUAUCUCUAUCUUCCCUUUGUCUUAACUUUUAAAGGGCCAGACUCUCUGUACGUCAUCAGUUGAUAACCCAAUAGAAGCACUAGAGGUGUGGUUAUCUUCCAGAUCGCAAUUUAGUUAUUUGGUCUAUAGAGGGCAGUCUUGUCCCACUAAACAUACCUAUCCAGGAAAGAGUUAACUUUUCCUAGUGACUAUUUUGACGUCAUUUUGCUUAUCUCAAAUGACCACUAUAACUUACGUAUCCUUCACAGAUCAAAGGGUUUAUUUAAGUUUUGUCCAGACUAUGUGUCUAGCAAUCUGAGUUUUGACCCGUAACUUACAAUGGGACCUUAUAUGUAUAGACAGUUAAAUUGUAUUAUUUAAUCUUCUCUGUCACAAUUGUCUGGGUUUAGAAUUGAUUAUAUUCUUCUUAUCACUUGUUUAUACUAUGCAUUCCUUUUAGCUCUGACAAAGUGGCUAGUCUUACAGAAAUAAAUCUUGUGUCUUUUUUUGUUAACUUGGAAUAACAAAAUGGAGUCUGGUCUGUUCAGAGUGACUCAGAAUAUACACUUUUAGUUUCUAUCAUAGCACAAGAUGUCUGCCGAUUUAAAUACUCAGACAGACACACACACGCACAGACAGACAGACACACACGCACAGAUAGACAGACAGACAUACACACAUGCACAGACAUACACACACACACACAGACAUAUAUACUUGCAGACACAUACACACAGACAGACAUAUACACACACCUAAUUUAUCAGCCACCCUCCUCUUACCUUUAAGUAAUCUCCUCUCUCCUCUCAUUUUUCCUGUCCUCUGCUCUCACUUUGCUCUCCCUCCGAUUUCCUCCCGCACGCAGUAAGCUGGGAGGAAGUGACUGGCUGUCACUUCCUCCCAGCAGCACUUGCGGUGUAGCCACAAUUUUUUUUUUUUUUAAACGGGGCCCGGUCGCGCAAUUACACGCCCGCAGUGCUGACUGGGCCCCUGAAGAUAUAGGGCCCAUCGGGUGGCCCUAAAUGCUUGGGCCACCUGAUGGGCCCUGGUGCAGAUGCACCCAUGGCAGUUUCGCCCCUCCACGUGGGGCCCGGGCGGCAGUUAUGGUAAUGGGUAAUGUGUGUAAUUAAUGUAAUGAAAAUUAAGAGAACAUGCUAUGUGUAACGGAUCACCUGGCACCCCCACAGGGUACCUCCGUUGACAGAUGCUCCUAGUGCUUACCGAGGGCUCCAAGCACUUCUCCAGACAUCCCCAUGAACUGCUGCAGCUUAGUUGGGGGCUCGCCGUCUCCUACCCACCCUGGACCUACGAUAAGGCUCCAGAUUCCAAUGGGUGAACCUCUCUUCCUCCAGAGAGUGAAGCAGGAACAGCUCUUACAAGAGCUAGUGAUUAUUCAAGGGAGUAUGAAGAGCACAGCAAUCCUUUGUAGCAGUUUCCCUCAAUAAAAGACAAGACUCUAGAUUGAGGGUAAAUCAGGAACAGAGUUUAAUGGCACACACUGGUCUUUUAUACAAGUUUUACAGCAAAGGUGAUGCCUAGGUGGACCUAGUUGUGCACCCAAUACAAAACAUACAAGCCAAUAAAAACAGAGGUUUACAUUCAGACACUCCCAUACAGUGUAUACAAUCCCUCCCCUCUGCCUGUGAUACAAUUAACAAGGACAAUGGACUAACUCAAUUAACUUUAAGCAGAAAAAAAACAAAUUUUUACAAACCCCAAAAUACAACAUAUCCCCCUGAUAGCCCUGAUUUGGGUGAACAACAUAUCCAAAAAUCACCCAUAUCGGUUCAAGGGUUCAGGAAUUUCCUGGAAGUCUUAUUUUGCCCCACCGUGCACAUGGUCCCAUGCCCAAAACAGUUCCAUAGACUCAACGACAAAACACUGCUGGACAAUUUAAGAUGGCCACUGCCACAUGUUUGAAUCUGUUCCAGUUAAAAGUCCAAGGGGCAGAAACAGUACUUUUGAACAUGGGUUAUCACAGGGCCCAUAGUCCCAGGGUAGAAGGCUGGCAAGCAGGCCCCUCCAAAACCUCAUGGCAACCUCCCUUAAAAAGGGAGUUUGUCACACUAUGAUUCACUCUUCAAUCUGUUUGUAAAACCAGCUGGCAUUCUUUCACUGUCAUUUUAUAUAAAUAAAUGUGGCAUUAUAUUA